rnacentral:rRNA from 1 species
GACGAACGCUGGCGGCGUGCUUAACACAUGCAAGUCGAACGGAAAGGCCUGCUUUCCCUUGUGGAUUGCGGGUACUCGAGUGGCGAACGGGUGAGUAACACGUGAGUGAUCUGCCCCCAACUUGGGUAUAAGCCUGGGAAACUGGGUCUAAUUCCCGAUAGGACUGCAGGGUGGUGCCUGUGGUGGAAAACGAUUUUCUAGUGGUUGGGGAUGAGCUCGCGGCCUAUCAGCUUGUUGGUGGGGUAAUGGCCUACCAAGGCGGCGACGGGUAGCCGGCCUGAGAGGGUGGACGGCCACAUUGGGACUGGGAUACGGCCCAGACUCCUACGGGAGGCAGCAGAGGGGAAUAUUGCACAAUGGGCGGAAGCCUGAUGCAGCGACGCCGCGUGGGGGAUGACGGCCUUCGGGUGGUAAACUCCUUUCGACCGCGAGGAAGCCACCUGGUUGGAAGGGUGGUGACGGUAGUGGUAGAAGAAGCACCGGCUAACUACGUG